rnacentral:rRNA from 1 species
GACAGAGGGUGCAAACGUUGCUCGGAAUCACUGGGCGUAAAGGGCGUGUAGGCGGGAAUGUAAGUCGGGCGUGAAAUCCCUAGGCUCAACCUAGGAACUGCACUCGAAACUGCGUUUCUUGAGUAUCGGAGAGGAAAGCGGAAUUCCUGGUGUAGAGGUGAAAUUCGUAGAUAUCAGGAGGAACACCAGUGGCGAAGGCGGCUUUCUGGACGAUUACUGA